rnacentral:rRNA from 1 species
AGCAGUCGCCGCGGUAAUACGAAGGGUGCAAGCGUUGUUCGGAAUUAUUGGCGUAAAGGGUGCGUAGGCGGUUUCGUAAGUCUGAUGUGAAAUCUCUGGGCUCAACCCAGAGGCUGCAUCGGAGACUGCGAGGCUGGAGAGUGGGAGAGGUGAGUGGAAUUUCCGGUGUAGCGGUGAAAUGCGUAGAUAUCGGAAGGAACACCUGUGGCGAAAGCGGCUCACUGGACCAUUUCUGACGCUGAUGCACGAAAGCUAGGGGAGCAAACAGGAUUAGAGACCCGCGUAGUCCCUGUCUCUUAUACA